UAAAACACUAUUGUUCCAGUUUCUGAGACCCUCUUCACUGCUGCUGCGGAUUCAAAUGAUCCCCAGAAUCAGCUCAGCACGAGCAUAUAUGUAAUGGAAAAUGGAGGAAAAUCUCACUGAGUGACUGUUGGACAAAGUCGAGCACAGGUCAAAGUUACCAAUUCAGACACCUGCAGAAACGCGCCAAAGCUGAAACUCGAAAAGCUCCUUCAACUUCAAUCUGAGAGAACAUGAUGCUUGUCUUGCAUCUUAUUGAGGUCGGAGUGCACUCAAAUAUUACGGUUUCACAAGCAAUUGCCUCUUUGCCAAU